rnacentral:other from 1 species
CUUCCAUACUAUCUAUUAAUUCUUAAAC